GCCCACAGGCGCUCCGAGUGGCACCGAGGCGACCAGCGGCUUGUGUGUGGACGCCGUGCACCGUGGUCGACGUUCAAGUCCGCCGGUGGUCACCCAUCACCACCCAACAACUUGCACCAGCACCAGCGAGCUGCUUUUGACCACAUCCUGGAUUUAAAAUAUAUAUAUAUGUAUAUUAAAUAUAUAUAUAUGUAUAUUUAGCAAAAUUACAGCUCUCUGGGGACUUGAAAUUGGAUUUACCAUUUUUAUACUGUUGUUGGUCUUAAUGGCGGAGUAAUGGAACACAGAGAGACCAGAGAUCCCACGUCAGCGUUAUGUCUCAGUAUACAACAUGAAGAAGGAUGUUCCGCUUGACCUUAUAGCCAGAGGGCUCACUUCCAGCAGGACCUUGCACCAUGAGUCUUCACAACAUAUGCACUAAAGUGUAAAAAAAAUCAUCUAAACGUUACCUCCUCUCCCUCUGUGGACCCUCAGGAGGAAAGCAAAGACCACUGCCUCCCAACUGACAAUUUGACAAUUUCCUGAUGUGAUCGGCCUCAAGACUGUUAGCCGCAACGACUGUUCUCCUGCUACUGCCCUUGUUCCUUUAGAAGCAUAUUUUUUUAUAUAUGUACAAUAUUUAUCUGAAUAGAUCUCUAAAAAGAUGAAUAUGAUUACUGGAAAUUAGUCCAACCAGACUGAAUUCCAAUCGAACAUCUAUUUUUUGCAAUGAUGGAUCUCCUAAGUUUUUCUAUCAAACUGCAGAUGUUCCUCAGCACGUGUAUGGGACUGGAAUUUUUAGGCACACCAGGUCAGUGGGCUCGCUACCUCCGUUGGGAUGCCAGCACUCGUGGUGAUCUCAGCUUCCAGUUCAAGACAGAGUUCGCCGAGGCGCUGCUCCUCUACUUCGAUGAUGGCGGCUAUUGUGACUUUCUGCAACUGUCGGUGGUAGAAGGUCGACUCCAGCUGCGUUUCAGCAUCGACUGUGCCGAAACAACACUUGUGUCUGACAGAAGGGUGGAUGACAACAACUGGCACUUUGCGACUCUGAGCAGGUAUAACUUGCGCACUGUUCUGGCACUUGACGGACAGGCCAAAGCGGACGAGGUGCGGCCUCAACGCCAAUUUAUGAAAAUUGUCAGCGACCUGUUCCUGGGUGGAGUGCCUCAGGAUAUCCGCAGCGGUGCACUCACACUGCCCACAGUGCGAAACAUGCAACCCUUCAAGGGUACAAUCACAGACCUUAAAUAUGGCAACUCACAGCCCCAGUUCUUAGGAAGUCUUAAAGUUCCCCUGGAGUCUGAGGGCUGGUGCACCACGAACCCGUGUGAAAACGGUGGCACAUGCACCGUGGUGGACGGAGAAGCUGUCUGUGAUUGCUCCAAAACAGAAUACAAGGGCCGCUACUGCACUGAAGAGCUCAACGGCAAAACACCAGGCGUUGCACACAUGAUGGCAGAGCAAGCUAAAAGCAAAGGUACAGCUUUUUCGAAAUCUUUCCUUUUUCGACAUUAUGAAAAGCGCCGCUUUCUCUCACGAGAAGAGAACGUGGCCACCUUUCGUGGUUCUGAAUACUUCUGCUACGACCUCUCUCAGAACCCAAUUCAAAGCAGCAGUGAUGAGAUCACGCUCUCCUUCAAGACGUGGCAGCGCAACGGCCUUAUACUUCACACUGGCAAGUCGGCUGACUAUGUCAACUUAGCGCUGAAGGAUGGCGCCGUCUCCCUUGUGAUCAACCUGGGCUCCGGAGCCUUUGAAGCAAUUGUUGAGCCUGUCAAUGGAAAGUUCAAUGACAAUUCAUGGCAUGAUGUCAAAGUGACUCGCAACCUCCGACAGGUGACAAUAUCGGUGGAUGGGAUUUUGACCACCACGGGCUACACCCAGGAGGACUACACCAUGCUGGGCUCAGAUGACUUCUUCUAUGUUGGCGGAAGCCCCAGCACGGCCGAUCUGCCUGGAUCUCCUGUCAGCAACAACUUCAUGGGCUGCCUCAAAGAGGUGGUGUACAAGAACAAUGACAUUCGCCUUGAGUUGUCCCGACUUGCUCGCAUUGUUGACCCUAAGAUGAAGAUCCAGGGUGAGGUAUCCUACAAGUGUGAGAAUGUGGCCACCCUGGACCCCAUUUCUUUUGAGACUCCACAGGCCUAUAUCAGCUUGCCCAAGUGGAAUACCAAGCGGAUGGGAUCUAUCUCUUUCGAUUUUCGCACUACGGAGCCCAAUGGCCUCAUCCUCUUCACCCAUGGCAUACCACAGGAGCGAAAAGAUGCCGCCCGUAGUCAGAAGAAUACCAAGGUGGAUUUCUUUGCAGUCGAGCUGCUGGAUGGAAGCCUGUACCUGUUGUUGGACAUGGGCUCAGGGACCAUAAAGGUGAAGGCCACUCAGACAAAGGUCAAUGAUGGUGCCUGGUACCACGUGGACAUCCAGAGAGAUGGCCGCUCAGGCACCAUCUCUGUAAACAGCAGACGGACCCCAUUCACAGCAAGUGGAGAGAGUGAAAUCCUCGAUCUGGAAGGUGAUAUGUACUUAGGGGGGCUUCCCACAGAUCGCGCUAACCUCAUUUUGCCUACGGAGCUGUGGACAGCGAUGCUCAACUACGGCUAUGUGGGCUGCAUCCGUGAUCUCUUCAUUGACGGCCGAAGCAAAGACAUCCGUCAGAUUGCUGAAGCGCAAAAUGGUGCCGGGAUUAAACCUUCAUGCAACAAGCAGCCUGGGAAACAGUGUGAGAGCUACCCUUGCAAGAACCGAGGUGCCUGCAAAGAAGGCUGGAAUCGAUUCAUCUGUGACUGCACCGGCACUGGAUAUUGGUCCCGCACUUGUGAAAGAGAGGCUUCGAUCCUCUCCUACGAUGGCAGCAUGUAUAUGAAAGUGGUGAUGCCAACCAUCAUGCACACUGAGGCAGAGGACGUAUCUCUGCGCUUUCGCUCCCAGAGGGCCUACGGCCUCCUCAUGGCCACCACCUCCCGAGACUCAGCCGACACGCUCAGGUUGGAGUUGGAUGGAGGCCGCGUCAAACUCACGGUCAAUCUAGACUGUAUCAGGAUAAACUGUAACUCCAGCAAAGGACCGGAGAUGCUGUAUGCCGGGCAAAAGCUCAAUGAUAAUGAAUGGCAUACAGUGCGUGUGGUGCGUCGCGGCAAAAUCUACAAGCUAAUCGUUGACGAUGAUGUAGCAGAAGGCCAAAUGGUGGGUGACCACACACGUCUGGAGUUCCACAACAUCGAAACAGGCAUCAUGACAGAGCGCAAAUUUGUUUCAAGCAUUCCCUCCAGCUUUAUUGGUCAUCUGCAGAGCCUCAGAUUUAACGGCAUGCUCUACAUCGACCUGUGCAAGAAUGGUGACAUUGAUUUUUGCGAGCUCAACGCCCGCUUUGGGAUCCGUUCCAUUAUUGCCGAUCCAGUCACCUUCAAAUCCAAGAGCAGCUAUCUCAGCCUGGCCACCCUGCAGGCCUACACAUCCAUGCACCUAUUUUUCCAGUUCAAGACCACUUCCCCAGAUGGUUUCAUACUGUUCAACUCAGGAGAUGGGAGUGAUUUCAUUGCUGUCGAGCUGGUGAAAGGUUAUAUCCACUAUGUGUUUGACUUGGGAAAUGGACCUAAUCUGAUAAAGGGGAAAAGUGAAAGGGCCCUUAAUGACAACCAGUGGCACAAUGUGGCCAUCACCCGAGACAACAGCAACACCCAUACACUGAAAGUAGAUGCUACAGCUACAAGUCAAAGCAUCAACGGGGCCAAGAACCUGGACCUGAAAGGUGACCUCUUCAUUGCUGGGCUGGGUCCCGGCAUGUAUGGUAGUCUGCCUAAAUUGGUGGCUUCCAGAGAGGGCUUCCAAGGCUGUCUGGCCUCAGUGGACCUAAACGGGCGCCUUCCAGACCUCAUCAGUGACGCAUUGUUUCGUAGCGGGCAGAUUGAGCGUGGAUGUGAAGGUCCCAGCACCACCUGUCAGGAGGACUCUUGUGCCAACAUGGGCAUUUGCAUCCAGCAAUGGGAGAACUACACUUGUGACUGCUCCAUGACCUCCUACACAGGAACGCAGUGCAAUGACCCUGGGACCACAUACAUCUUUGGCAAAGGAGGGGGCCUGGUGACGUUCAAGUGGCCAGCCAAUGAGAGACCAAGCACCAGGACCGACAGGCUGACCGUCGGCUUCAGUACGUCACUGAAAGACGGCAUCCUUGUCAGGAUUGACAGCGCUCCUGGUCUGGGCGACUUUCUCAUGCUCCACAUCCAACAAGGCAAAAUUGGUGUGACAUUCAACAUUGGGACAGUGGACAUCAGCGUGCAAGAAGGCAGCACCCCAGUGAACGACGGGAAGUAUCAUGUGGUCCGCUUUACCAGGAAUGGCGGUAAUGCUACUCUGCAGGUUGAUAACUGGUCCAUCAAUGAGCACUUCCCGACAGGAAACAGUGACAUUGAACGCUAUCAAAUGGCCAACAAGAAAAUCCCUUUCAAAUAUGUCAGACCAGUAGAAGAAUGGCUACAAGAAAAAGGACGACAGCUCACCAUUUUCAACACUCAAGCCACCAUUGCAAUUGGCGGAAGUGAUCGUGGUCGGCCUUUCCAGGGCCAGCUGUCAGGCCUUUACUACAACGGACAUAAAGUGUUGAACAUGGCUGCAGAAAACAACCCCAACAUCAAAAUUAAUGGGAGCGUGAGGUUGGUGGGUGACGUCCCCAGUGGCUCCACCAGGUCCACUGCCAUGCCCUCGGAUGUGUCUACGACCUUCAUUGAGACAACCACCAUGAUGUCCACCACCACCACACGGAAACACAGAUCCUCUUCAACGAAGCAUGCGUCAGAUGACUUUGUAUCAUCUGCAGAGUGUUCCAGUGACGAUGAAGACUUGGAGGAGUGUGAAACUGGUCAUCCAGGUGGGCUAGACAUUUUAGCGGACAAUCAGUUGGCCAUUCCCAAUUUCUUUUAAAGAGUAUGCAGGAGAUCAUUACGUAAAUGACUUUAAAGCUGUGCUGUGUAUUCUGAGAUUCAUGGGGAUUUGUGAAGAAAGACAAAGACAGGGCCCCAGUCAUCCAAUCAUGUGUUUACACAGAAAUUCACACCAUCUGUCAAUUCCAAAUUGACUUUUCUGUUUGUCUUUUCUUUCUUAGUAUUAUUAGCCCUUUUAUUUGAUUGAAAUUUAGUGAUGAAGCCACUCCCACCUGUCUGCUACUUUUCUUUGCCUGUGCUUUGCCCUCCACAUGUCCAUUGUUUCUAUACAGUGUUCCCUCGCUACAUCGCGGUUCACCUUUGCAGAUUUUUUAAAUUGCAAUUUUGCAUUUUUUGGCAGCGUAUCCUUGUGGUGUUUAAGAGCGAUCUAUCGGUGCUCUGUUGUACAGUAUGUGUCUGUCAUUGUAUUUACUACUGCUACCAGUAGAGGGUGCUGUAUACUCAUGUGAGAGUUGAAGACAGUGCCGCUCCACCUGUCUCAGUAUGCGUUACAUUAGGAACCCACAGCAGACAAUAACAGCAAAGUAUAGAGCCAUAUUGAGUUUUUAUCGGCUAAGGGAGAACCCGCCCAUUGUGUUCUGCGUCCUGAUUGGUUGUAGACCAUUGUUAAUCAAUCUCCUUCAUGUCGUUUCCUGUUGUGGUUAAUAGUUGCUAGAAAACUAGCCAACUGUGUGAGCUGCUUUCUCACCGCCAAUAAACAAUAGAAGAAGAAGAAGCUAACCGGCUAAAUGAAUUUUCGGUGCAAGGAGUAGGAUGAGGAGGACGACGACGGCAGGAGCAAUAUGUUUUAGCAAGGAUACAAAAAUACUACAGCCAAACGUCGCCAAGGCGAAGCACAGUCAGAGGAGUGAAAUACGAGUGAGUCACUUAAUAAUUUCUUGUGUCCAACCUAGUAGUUGAUCAUUAAAAUUCAAAUGAAAAUUGAGCUUUGACAGUGUUUAAACGAGAGAAAUGUGAGAAAAUGUUAAUGCCUGUCUGAGAAAAGUAUAUAAAGUGUAUGGUGAGGGGUUUUACAGCCUUAUAACGUGUAUAGUAAUUGUAAGCAAAUAAAGUUGGCUAUUUAGCAGAUUUCACUUAUUGCAGCCUAUUUUGGGAACAUAUCCCCCGCGAUAAACAAGGGAACACUGUAUUUGCUUUCACUUUCAUAGCAGACAGAUGAAAACAUUCCCAAGGCAAAUUCUUAUUUACACAGUAACCUGUAAGACUCAAAUUAAAUCUAUUUGAUCAUGCUUUCAUUUGAAAAAUUUGAAAACAUCCUUGCAUUCUUAUGCUACAAUGUACCAAACAUUUGAAGACAUUUUGCCCUCAGUGGUAUGGAAAUGUUUUUUUUGUUUGUUUGUUUUUUGCCAUCUACAUUUUGAUGAUUAUGACUACGGUUUGUUCAGAAUUAACGUUGUUGGUCAGUUUGCAUGAGCCUUAGUUUUACAUUCCCUAAGGGACAAAAUUGAUUGCUUUGUCUGCAUUCAUUGUAUCUGGAAAUCAUUUUUGCGGUCACAGCAACAUCAAAUGUCCCCUGCAUUAUCUUUCUUUUGUUAUGUUUCUUUGGUUGUCAAGUUGUUUAGUGAUACUGUUCUCUGUUGUCCAUCCGUUGUGUCCUUAAUGAUCGAUUUCAUAAGAUGGCAAGCGAGGAUAGUUUGAAAACAAUACAUUACAGAGCCAUGGCCAAUGAUUAGGAUAAGAAAUCACUGGUAUUCUGGGACAGGACCGAUCAAUAUACAGUACAUAAGUACACAAACAUACAGUACAUCAUUAACUCAUUUCGUUGCAAUGAACAUCAGUAUUGUAUGUUUCACUUCUUCUUGUGAACUUCAGUAUCUUAAACGUGAAAACGUUUUUGUCAUACUUUAGUCAUUCGCCAGUGAACGACCUUGAAGGGAUAGUUUGGAUUUUUUGCCACAAAGUUCCCCAUCAGCGGUGUCGUCCAGCAAUGAUUUACCCCGCACUUGGUCCCAUGAGCCCAGUUCUGGUCGGGUAUGGGUGAUGACAAACAUUGUUCCGGUUAGUUAUUAGGGAAGAGUUUGGCUUCUCAAAACAAUAUGCGUUCGAAAUAGUAACACAUUUGCAUGACAAAAAUGCCUCCUCUUAAGAAAAUCAGACCUCACUAAUCGCUCGGCUUUACUUUCUCUGACGUCGUAUUAAUGUGCGCCAUUGGCUGUUCAGUGUCACUCUUUACUUAAGUAACCCCGAUAACUAACCGGAACUACAUUUCUCAUCACCGAAAUCCGACCAGAACUGGGCUCACGGGACCAAUCAUUGAUGGACUACACUGCUGAUGGGGAUGUCAUAUACAACUUAAUGGCAAAAAAUCCCAAUUAUCCUUUUAAAAUACGAGUGAAAUGAAGUCGUGAUUCAUAAUAAUGACAAUUAUGUAUGGGAACUUUGGAAACCUGAUGACAAUUGUUACCUUUUGUGUUACCUUUGCGUUAAUUCGCCUUAUGUUUUGCUCCUAAUAGACACCAGCUGCAAAGCAAGAAGCUAUGCUACAGUUACGCGGUCAAAUUAAUUGACGUAAAUAAAAAAAUAAUCAUCUAAAAAUCAGGCGGUGUCCAAUCAUCACCGUCGUUAUCACUGACAUGAAUGUUUUGUGAGUGCAAGGUUUUAUUUGCCUUUAGUUUUCAUGGACAUGAACAUUAUAUAGUUGUCUUCACGUUUUUUUAUGAUGUGACAGUGAUUGAUCACUGCACAAAAUAAGCACGUUUUGAUUUGGAUUUGAAUUUUGACUCGCUUUAUCAGGUUUUUGUCAGUAGGUUUGGAGAUCGUGUCAUAUUCAAAACUAGAGGAGGUAGAUCGAGAGGGUCAGUGGACUACAAUGUCACAAUGUAUACUGUAUACAGAUGUACAGUAUAUAAUAAUAACAGGGCAGUACUACUAUUUUAACAAUAAGCUGAGUUAAAAGCUGGUGGUAGGAAGAACAAUAACAAGAUACGAAUGUUAGCAAACUUGGACAGGAGCUUGGUCCGUCAGGGGAAAUCCCUUAGGAUUCUACGUCUACAGUCUGCUUGGGCGAAUCAUGCAGUCAGCGUGGCGUUUCUCCACUUUCUCAGCAUUCUACGAUGCAUAAUUUGAACUAAAAAGAACAAAAGUGACGUCCAUCGUCAGUAGAGCAAUACACGACGACAUAUUCUUCCGCGUACGUAUUAAUAAUUUAGCACAAAAUAACCACGAAACAUAACACGAAAAGCCUGUAGGAACUUCUGAUGGAUGUGUUGUUUCGCUUUGUUUGGCUAAAGCAUUUGCAUCGAACAAAAUGAAAAUCCCGGUUUUAGUUAACCACGUACAGAGCAUAUACUUGUACUACACACAGAGACACACAUUGAUAUGAAAUACUCUCUAUGCCAUCUAAUGGAGUUUACUUGAUUAUAUUUUUAUAGACAACAUACAUGUCAAAGGACACUAAAAGUUUAAAGCCUGUAUCCAUACAACACUUGUGUUAGUCCAGGGUUAGUCUGCCUGGCGGUGGAGAUAAUGUCAAAUGUACUGGAAACUGGGAGUGAAUUUAUUUAAAAAUGUAAAAUGUGUUUAAUGGAUAUAUACUUUAAGCUUGUCAAUUGACAGUUACCAUCCAUGACAUACUGUUAAUAUACAGUGGAAAUCAAAAGUCAACACAUCCCGAAAUUGAAAAUAAAAAAAACACUGAAAUGAAACAUGGUUUUGGAGCGUGACCACCCUUAUACAGAUAUUUUGGUUGAAACAUCUUUUCUCAGGUAGCCAACAGAUUUUCAGUUGGAUUCAGAUGUGAGAUCAGACUGGGCCAUUCCCUAACAUUUCUUUAAUUCUAGUGGAGUCAUUCUUUUGUUCAUUUUGAUUUAUUUUUGACUCAUAGGUCAUUUUGUUACUGACUUUUGUCAUUUUGCGUAGCCAGUUCUUGGUAAUGUCACCGUUUCGCCGUACCUUUGGAAGUACCAACAAAUUCUAUGACAGUUCUUUUGAAUUUUUCUCCUGAUCUAUAUGCAAUUACAAUUGGAAUCCUUUGAUGCCUUUGUUAUAGCAAGUGUAUUUGAUGCUGUGUUCACACUUGUAGUUUGGCACUGUACUGUACUGUUCUGUACUGUACUGUUCUGUACUGUACUGUACUGUUCAAAAAUUGCUCAGUGUAGUCACUAACCGAUUGGACAGUGGUUGUGACACCUCUGUGACGCAACUCAAACUAUCAAAACAACUACCGGUACACUGUCUGCUGAGCUACAUUCACAUACGUACCCGUUGACCUGUCUUGAAAAACGUUCAAAUUUUCCGCAAAUAGCUGCCAGAAUAAACUGUUACUUUGAAGUUACUUUGUUACUUUGAAGAGUGAGGGAAAAAGGACUUUAUAAGUCUUAUACAAUCCUUGUAUAAGACGUAAACACAUAUGGCUUUCUCUUUUCUGUGCAUUUCAAAGAUAUAAAAAGUGACAGCACAGUAGUGCAAGUAAUGGGAUACACCUAUGCGGCCUACAAAGACUGCUACUAAAACACCUCGAAAAACCUUCAACAAUAAUAAUGUUAAUAAUAAUAAUAGCAAUGUCGCUGUAGCCUGGUUAAUAUGCAUGUCACGUUAUAUGUAAAUCGAGCGUUGUUGGCGCUCUUUCAGACGACUUUAUCGGAGGAAUAAGUAUGUCCCAUACAUGCAGUAAUGAGCUCACUCUUUUUAGCUGUUUUUACAUCGUUAAAAUGCACAGAAAAGAGAAAGACAUGUGUUCAUUCCAAAAUUCCAAAAAAGGUGCAGUUUUCCUUUAAGCUGAAGUCAACAGAAUGACAACAGAGUUGACUGAGAGAGAGAUUUCGGUCUGCUUUUUAUUGCUUUUAAAUUUCCAUAUCACCAGUGUUCGCACUUGACCAAUACAAUCACACAGUCCGAGCAAUCACAACUGCAGUUUGUAUGAAUAGAGCCAAACCUGACAGGUGUGAACAAAACCAAAGGUGUAACCCAGAAAAUCUCAGCUAAAUUUAGCUAGAUCAGGUGAUUUUUUAAUACAGUCCCAAAUAUGAGGGUUUCCACACUUGCACAAUACUAACUGCGUUAUAAUUUCUGCGUUUUGCUCCCAAAAUAAAAUCCAACUGAUCAUAAAGUAUAUAUUUUAUUGGGGAUGUGUUGAAUUUUUAUAUCCAGUGUAUGUUUAAUUGUUGUAUUUUGUUCCUGUCCUCCACUGCUAUUAGUUCAAGCGGACCUGUAUCCCAAUUUGUCUCUAAAUUCCAAGUAAAGUGUCGGGUGAGCCAGACAUGUAACGGAAGUUGAUCUAAAUUGAUCAAAUGUUAUACUGUCAUGACAAUGUAUAGCAUUUAUGCUGUGGAAUUGGGACACAGAGUCUGUCAGUCAUCGAUUUCAGUCAGUCUUACCUCCCCCCAGUUUUCUAUGUUCUUUUCUUUUCUACUUUCCCUAAAUGCAACUUACUUUAAGCAUGCAUCAACAUCCUGCAGUACAACUAAAACUAAACAAAAAGAAAACAAUAUUAACUCAUUUCCAGCCAGUAUUGUCACUCUCUGUACACCCAGACUGCACGGCCGGUCCAUGUUUAAAGAUUGACAUUACAGAAAAGAUUUGCCAUCAAGAAACACAUGAGAGAGGAGCCCGUCCCUUAGUCGAGUCCCUCUCUCGCCAGUGUCUGUUUUCUCUUGUGUGCAUCUGGUUGUAGUGUGUGCAAAACCUUUAAAUGGCUUUGUUCUUUCAUCUUUAACAUUUUGCAUUUGAUAGUUUGAACAGGUCUUUUUUAUGAUUAAUCCAAAGGGUAUUUUGGUUUAACUUUAAGUGUUUUUUUUUUCUUGCUUUCUUUUCCACAAUUGGAUUCCAAUUAAAAACCAUUGUUAAACAUUUCCUAUAUAAUUUGACCAUUUCGGAUUUAGAACAGCAUGUCCAUAAAGUCUCUUCACAAUUUAACAAAUUUAUCACAAAAACAAACAUAUAGGCAUGUCCGUGGAAUUAUUGCAAAUGGAGAGUAGAUAUUGGGGGGGAUAUAUUGGGAUUUUUUUUCACCUCUAUAUGGGCACCAUUAGUUGCACGAAGCGUACAGUAGUCUAUUUCUUGCCAUGAUCUCAUCAAUGGUGGCAAUGUGCUUCAGGUCUUUGAUGUCCGAUGUUUCAUAAAACCACCAUACACCUUUUCUUGAGGGGUAGCCAUUUUGGGGGGACCGGGUUAUUUAACGAAAACUAUUUUAUCAGGGUAGCGGAAAUACACAAAUGCAAUGUGAUUAAAAACUGAUAAUCGCUGAAUACAUCAAACAAAUCUGAACAUAUCUCAUCAAUUGCUUUUGUAAUACAUUUUUUAAAUUGUAAAGAGACUUUAUGGACACCCUGUACGUCUACUACUAACGACUACUAACUACUUUGUGUGUUUUCCUUCAGAUGCGUGCUUUCUUUGCAAAUGAGAUUAAAAACUAAUUAAUCUCAAGCCCGAAAUUUUUAAGAAAUGCACUUUUUUUGGAAUUUUGGCCGUCAUCCACAAUCCUCAUGUGAGACAAGAACACACCUCUUCCCCUUUUUGGUGCAUUCUAGAUAGCCUCCUCGUGCUGGCAGUUUUUCACUAACAAAGCACGUAAUGUGGAUUUGUCUAUUUUGCCUAUAAAGCCCUCUUAAAAAACAUCCAUAAACAUUCAACGUUUUAGAUGCAAGCCGUUCCAGAGCCUUAUCUUUUUGAGCCUGAAUAUAUGGAGGAAGAGCUACAGGUGCAGAUGGUUGCCAAGAGAGUCAGGACCGGAGCUUGCCGAGCCAUGCUGGCACUUUAGUGUUUCUGCUGUACUGACUGGCACACUGCACUACCAUCGAUGGAAAGGCUUUCAGUAUCUGGCGAGGAGGACACCGCUCCAAGUGACUGCAUCAUACCAACGAAUUGUUAGCUCUCACAAACCCUGCAGUGUUAGAAGCUUUUUUCCACCGACCCAAAAUCAACUGGAAAAGACGCCCCGGGCCAGCUGGACCAGACAGACUUAGCACUCCAUCGAGUAAGUCACCAUGAUAUUGAUUCUGAUACGUGGAGCACAUAGUGCUUGAUAUCAGAGCUAUAUACUGUACACAAUCAAUCUAUGCCAGAAAGGUAGUUCCUCUGUGUUAGCUCCUACAAUAACAAUAUCGCUUUAGCUUGGUUAAUAUAGGAACGAUGUUGGCGGUUUUUGGAUGUUUUUUUUUUUUUUUAGAGGGCUUUAUAGGCGAAAUAGGUGAAUUCAAUUAACUGCAUUGUUAGGGAAAAACUGCCAGCAUGAGGCAGCUAUAUGGAUGUGUGUUCUUGUCUCACAUAAAGAACGUGGCUGAUGCUGGCGAAACUCCAAAAAAGUAAAGUUUUCCUUUACAGUAUGUAGAUGGCUCUAAAUCUGGAAACACCAGUUUAACAAAACUAGUGAAUAUUUACUGAAUAAUACUUUGUAAGGGAAUCAAAAAGAAUUGCAUGGCUAAAAAGUUGCAGUUUAGGGUUUGUCAGACCUGUCAGUGUUAGAGUUCUUCUGUUCUUUUAUGUAGAUGGGCAUGUAUAUGCUCAUUGUUUGUAUAUCCCCAUCCCUUCCUUACAGCCAAAAGCUCUAUUGCCGCCCGACCGCCUCGUUCUGCCUUUACAUGGACAUGGCAACUGACUUACACUGUCACCCUCAUCAGCCUCAUUUCCUAUGUAACAUGUUCAUAGGUCCCACCCCUUCUUCACCUGCUCCCUUGUUGUUAGAGGUAUCUGAAAAUGUAAAGUGAAUUUAUUCAUUCUACUCUAUAAAAACAAAAUGAGAAUCUAAUAUCAACUUAACUCCAACAUGAAUAGAGUUUAGAUACUAUUGAAGUACUGCAGUGGAAAAAAAAAAUGUAGAUACGCAUUUUUUUUUUUUUGUAAAAACACAGAACAAAGCAAAUUAUUUACAGAGUGAGAAAUUAAAUAUAAAAACAGAAUUAUGGUGUUUAUUUUUAUGUUUUGUGGUGUGAAUGUGUGUGCUGUUGCCUCCCUGUACUGUCAUGUUUAAGCUAGAAUACACCCUCUGAUGGAAAACAAUACAGUAUUUUUAAUGGUACAAAAUGGAUAUCCAUUAUACAACUUUUAUUUUGUAAAUUCUUUUCUUUCUGCCAAAUUCAUGCGGGCAAUAUGUUGAUGAGCUGAAUUAGUCCCCCCAGUUCUAGAGGAUCCAAUAGUACACCCCUUUGUCGAUCCUCGUGCACCCUUCAUUCCCACUCCCUCAACCCACCAACCACUCCUCACCAUUACUGAGACCACCAAAGAGUCCCUGUCCAAGGCCACUGAGG